rnacentral:lncRNA from 1 species
ACUGUUUUAUUUUCAAGGAAAUAGUUUUAACCUCUCACCAAAGACGCCCCAGAAGGCCCUCGUCCUGGUUACGGGGAAGGAAUUAUAGCGGACAGUUGCUAUCAGGAGGUCGUCAUCUUAAGGUAGCACGGAUAAGAACUGCACUGGAGAGGGAAUCAUGUUCGGGUUUUUCCCCAGCUCGGAGAACGCAGAAGUGCGGCCGCGCUGCUGCACGGCAGUGGGGGACCUUGGUUCUUUCCCGGACCCUUCAGCUGGGAGCCCUUGAUCAGCGAGAGCAGCGCGCUAAGGUUUUGCAAGGAAAAUAUGACCACCGAACUGGAUAUUCGACUGCAUGAUCCACUCGAGCUGCUCUGCACUUGAGGCUGAAAGGCAAGUGAACGGACGGCACUGUGUGGUCUUGCACACUAAUGCACCCUAAAGUGUGAAGCCGCUUGGUGCAAGCCCUCCACACAUCUCCCUCUUCGUUAAUUGCUCCUCAUAGUGACUUCUUUCUGCCAACCUGAUACCAUAAGGACAGCACUGCCCUGAGUUUUGUGAGCCAUCUUACAAAAUUAUUGGCCCUAAGAGGGUAGUGUGAACACAGGAGUUUGUAACCCACUGACCCGAAGUGAGGGUGGUAUCCCAGGACACCCUGAACAUGUGCCUGACACCUUAAGUUGGGGCAGGACUCUGCACUGGGCUCACCUUCCUGAUUUAAAAACUUACUACAAAUAAAACUACUGCACUUGAAAUAGUGGGGUUCCAGCCUGUAGACCAGUGGGGGUGAAUCCAAGGUCUGUGUGCCAUGGCGGGCCCAGCGCAAGCACGGGAUAUUGGACUGGGUACCCAAGCACUGAAGGACAAUCACAGUGUCAGCACUUGGCAAUAAAUAAGUGGGCUGUGGGCUGAAGUUUGGGCUCUCAGUCUUUAAAAGGUUCGCCAGACAGACAAUGGAACAGAACUCAGAGUGCAGAAAUAACCCAGUACCUCUGUGAUCAAUGCCAGUCAGCUCUCAGCAGGUGUGCGGCGGUCGUACACUGGCAAAAUGCACCUGCACGUGCACAAGCCUGAAGUUAGACUCGCACUUCCUGUCUGUAAAAUUAAGAAAUCCAAGUGUAAGAGCCAACCUAUGUAGCUCUUAGAAGAAAAUACAGGGUUGACCUUUAUGACCUUGGAUUUUGCACUGCAGUUGUAGCCAUGAUAGAAAAAGCAUGAGGGAUAAAAAGGCAAAAAGCACCUGAUGAAUUGGACUUCAUCAGAUUUUAAAAUGUUCAUUGAAGAAUAUUU